rnacentral:rRNA from 1 species
AUUCGGAGGGUGCAAGCGUUAAUCGGAAUUACUGGGCGUAAAGCGUACGUAGGCGGUUAGUUAAGUUAGAUGUGAAAGCCCCGGGCUCAACCUGGGAACUGCAUUUAAAACUGGCUAACUAGAGUUAAGUAGAGGGGAGUGGAAUUUCAGGUGUAGCGGUGAAAUGCGUAGAGAUCUGAAGGAACACCAGUGGCGAAGGCGACUCCCUGGACUUGAACUGACGCUGAGGUACGAAAGCGUGGGUAGCAAACGGGAUUAGAUACCCUAGUAGUCC